GUCCUCGCUGAACUCCCCUGAAACCACCUGCGUGACAAAUGGGAAUGAGAGCCGUUAAAAAACAAAAUCAGACUGAUAUACCAAUGCAUUCUUGUAAUAUUCAUAACUCUCUUGACACUGGGGAAAGGUUGUGUUUUCAUCACCAUGGGAACCCCCCCAAAAACAAAUCAGCAACCAUAUAUCUAUUUCCAAAAGCCUGUUAUAGAUCAACGAACACAUUCAAUUUUAUGUAUCUGAGAGAGGGUGUUUUUUUUUUUUUCCAUUGCAAUUGUUCCAACUUUACUCCGUAACCUUUUACAGCGUUGUAAUUGUGCCCGCGUAUCAAAUGUUUUGGUCAGUGAGUGCACAUAAUGUCGAAACUGUAGUCAAGUCUGCGCAUUCCUAAAGAGAAGCAACGAGGCAUGAACCUUGACGCUGAAAGUGAUUGUUUCCAUGACAAAGACUCGGUCGGGGAACACUCCAGCAACUUCUUCCACACUUGAGAAAUACUGGAUGGGAUCCCUGAUGUCUCUGUCUUCAUCCAACAAUUUGAACUUUCCUGCAGAAGGACAUGAGCAGAGAGCGAGAUAAAGAGACACGAAGUUUUGGGAGCACAAAGACACCUCGGCGACUUCUGACCUGGCACCAGCGUUCGAGCCAAUCGACAGGCUACAGGGUUGUCAUGGCAACCGGAGUCAGGGAGGCGGGAGUGGUGUAAGGUGACAUCAGUGCUCCAUCAGUAGAGGAAGCAGUGAAGAGGAGCUCCAGUUACACCGUGAAUAAUACAACUGGUCCAACAAUCGGAAGAAUGGGAUUGGAGAUGAGCUUCGACCCUUAUGAUCAUCUUUGUGCUGCCUGGCUGCAGAAAUAAGUGAAGUUCCGGUUGCGCAAUCAACAUUGCAGGAGCGCAACAACAAGAAUUUCUUGCAGGAGUCAGGAUUGACUGGCCAACGCACUUGUCAAAAAGUCGCAACAAACAAAGUGAUGUUUCCAAGACCUUGCAGCACCUGCGUGGCUGUGAGAUUCUCUUACCGUGGGCCAAUCGGACCAGAGUGGGCAAACGGAACUUGCUGACCACCGCGUCCAAAGGCAGCGCGAGCGGGCUCCAGGAGAUCUCCGACAAGCUCGCCGACAACUUCUCCAUCCUCCCGGGUCAUCACUGUGCCGGAGAUGAGGAGGAGGAUGAAGUUGGAGGCGGCGGUUGCUUGGAUGAAGGUGAGGAGGAUGGAUGUGAAGGUGGUGGAGCUGUCGAAAAGAGUUUCGCCAUGUUUGAAUGUGGGAGAAAAGGAGCUGCGGAGCGUGAGCGAGAGAUGAGGGAGGGCGCCAGAGAUCUUUUCCCCCCUCCCCCCUCACAUGCAUACUCAACAAGCAGUGGUUUAAGUAGGAAAGUAGUACAUCAUAUAAUUCUAAUUCAUUGUAAUCUCUUUGGUUUGGGAAAAAUACUAUUCACACAGGUGUCAAUAGUACUCUCACUUUAUUUAUGGAUGAGUACAGAUAUUAGUAAACAAAAAAAAAAAAAAACAUUGAUAAAUGCAUUAACUCCAUUACUUAAAGGGGAAGUCAACUCAAAAAUGUUCAGUACAAUAAUGUGUUCUAUGCAGCCUCACCAAUCCAAACACAGUAUUCUGAUUAAUAUAUUUGUGGAACUUUUUUUCAUCUCAAUGAGUGGUGUUUUUUUUAUGGAGCAGUUUGAAGCCCAAGUUAUUUUGCCAAACAAGUUUUAGAGCUAUUUUGGUCUUGGUCAGUAAUUGUCAUUCCAGUAUGAUAGAUCAUUUCUAGUGUUUCCAUGACUUACCAGUAAA